GGCAACUCACGAGAAACCCGACAGUUAGUCUAUCAUUGUCUCCCUUUGUCGAUAGGGACCACCCAUUUCAACCAAUAGGAUCGCUCCAUACUCCCUAUGUCCUCUUUGUCUAUAGCUUUGUCUAUCAAUUUCAAUAAUCAGUCCGCAGCCCAUUUGAAUUUUGCCGCGCUUGAAAAGAGCGGCGAAAUUCAAACGAGUCAACCGGGCCACGCUCUCAUAAAAUCGCCAUAUCGAAUGACGUGGCCAAUUGACAGGGCUUUAACCUCUCCCUCCCCCACUAUAGCCAGAGUUGGACGCAUGCCCCACUUUAGCGCCUCAGUCGCUACAUUCAUGAUACCGCGCGACUAACACAUGGCACAUUGGAUAAAGUGCGCGUAGUCUUGUGCGAGUUGCCGAUUGCAAUGCUUACUGGCACCAGCGUUGUCUGCCGCUCGCUUCUCCGUCGUGCUCGAUAUUUGAACUUACUCCCACUUACAAUAUUAGGUUUUAGUUUGGUAAAAAGUACCAUGGCCAGCUCUGUCGAUAAGCGAAAAGUGCUCUUGUCGCGAAGUGAUUAUUCCCCUUCGGCAGUGAACUUAUUGAAACAACAUGUUGCCGUGAUAAUUUCAUAUGGUUCGAAUAAGUGGAUAAUUUGUAACUUUCAUGAUGAGCAAGAACCUAUUUUAUAAUAAUUUUGGAUGUUUAAAGUCCGGGUGUUCGCGAGGCUUCAUGCAACAUGCGGCUCAAGUAUGCUGAAAAAUUGGAAACUUUAGUGUCCAUUGUUUUCUUAAUUCCUUAUUAUCAUUUUGCAGUGUGGUGAUGUUGUCUCAAAGCAUGACAUCAAUGGCUGAGGGGCAAUACCGCCUGUCUGCAAACUGACAAUUUUUCUAAGACGAAGAGAAAACUUCGCGCUUUCAGUAAUUUUGAGGAUAGCUUUGCAAUUUUUUUAUACAUUACAGCGCUUUCCUGUCAAUUUAGAGACAAUUUUAAAUAAUCCAGUUUGCGUAUUUUAUACUGUGGAAUGCGGCCAAGUCGCUAACUCAUUUUGGCCAAAAUUGUCAGUUAGACGGUAUUGUUCCCCAGCCCUUGAUAUCGGAAAUAGUCCAAAUGGUAAAAGUAUGAAAUCGUGUUAUGUCAAAAAAUUCAAAAUAAGAUGCAAUGCCAUGCGUUGGGGGAAAAGAUUUCACCAUCCGAGUCCCACUACCGAGAAGAACCGAACGUUAUUCUCCAUAGAAACACCUCCAUGAUUCCGACACAAAUCAAAAAACCGUUGAAAAACUGUUUGAAAGCAGAUCCAGAUCCAGAUUGGAGAUUGAUAGUCUGAUAUUGUCUCUGUUCCUGUUGUUCCAUAACUAGUCUCAUCAAAUGAUCUAAUAUUCGACUUAAAUCCAGCAAGUAUUUAUGUCAUUCCGGAGGCUGAGUCGUUAUUUCGGGAUCAUCUAUUUUGUUGAAAAGUCGAGGAUUAGAAAUAGGCAUGGAUCAAUAAACAGUUAAGAUCUAUCGAAAAUCUAUACAUAAAAAGUAAUAUCCACAAUAAGUAGUAUGGAUAUAAAAGUAUUUUCAAAAUAGACAUUCAAGAAAUUGGGAGGGGAUGCGAGGAUGUAGAAGACAUCAUGUAUUAGCGAAAAAUAUUCCGACUCUCAACUUUUGUGCAGAGUCAACUAGCUGAAUAAAAGUCUUCCUUACCCCGUCGGCCGUUAGGCCAUACCUACUGAUCUAUUUGCAUAAAUAGUCCAACACAGAUAAUACAAGACAAAACCAAGGACUCUCCGGAACAUACUUUUUUCGCAUGCACAGAUUUGAAACAACAAAGAAAAGAGCUAGAAAAGACAAUUGGAAGAAAGAUAAUACCUGAGAAUAUCAUGGAAAUAAUGCUGGAGACUAAGAGAAAUUGGAACGAAAUAUAUAAGCACAUCAAAAACAUCCUAAUCAAAAAGCAGAUACAUCUACAGGAAAAGUCGAUAUAGAAAGCAAGUACCAUCCCCUCCUCCCUCGAAGAGAUACCUACUCCAGGUGAUUCCGAGGAUGUCAAGGAAUCUUAAAACACCAAGAAGAUAGAGGAGUCUUCAUAAUCUAAAUUAGAAUUUAAGUACUUUAUAAAGGGAAUUACAUACACGGGGGGAAACAAAUAAUACUGUAAAUAAACAUAGGUUUCAUAUUAGCAUGUAUCUUAGGCCUUCGGGCUAUGGCCUGUCAUCCAUAGUUCCCCCUAGUAAGCAAACUAAUAAAAUAUCUUGAUUAUAAAAAAAAAAAAAAAAAAAAAAAAAAAAAAAAACAGAUAAUACAGGCACCGGCAUCCUUUAACAACAGGCAGCGCCUCAUACGACUUCACUCAAAUAGAUCCUAAAAUAGAACCCACUCUCA
rnacentral:lncRNA from 1 species